UCCAAACUAUUGGGAGAUUGAUGAGAUCGACCGACACCAAAUCAAGAUCAAUGAAGAUUACGAUUCCGUUUCGGUCAUCUCAUCAAUCUCCCAAUACGAACCU
rfam:Arabidopsis lyrata subsp. lyrata unplaced genomic scaffold ARALYscaffold_4, whole genome shotgun sequence.